ensembl:rRNA 5S_rRNA 5S ribosomal RNA
GCUUACGGCCACACCACCCACCCUGAGCGCGCCGAUCUCGUCUGAUCUCGGAAGCUAAGCAGGGUCGGGCCUGGUUAGUACUUGGAUGGGAGACCGCCUGGGAAUACCAGGUGCCGUAAGCU